rnacentral:tmRNA from 1 species
GGGGACGAUCCGGAUUCGACGCUGGUGACAAAACCCGAGGUGCAUGCCGAGAUGACAGCGAAUCUCGUAAAAUCAAAGCUGUGCUAAAGAUAGUUGCAAACGACGACAACUACGCACUGGCGGCAUAAAACCCGCUAGUCUGCCUAGCCGGGGUGCUUGUUCCCCGCGCGUUCAGGCAGUCAUAGAAAACAAGCUCGCUACCGCGUAUUGCUCUAUACGCUGUAGUUAAAACCCGAAGAGCUCGCCCCUUGCACCCUGACCUUUGGGUCGCCUGGGGUUAAAGCAAUAAAAGGAAGCUAAGCAUGUAGAGCCGAGGGCGGAGUACCGGCGGACGCGGGUUCAACUCCCGCCGUCUCCACCA